GGUCAAGAUAGCAAGGGUCCACGGUGGAUGCCCUGGCACUGGAGCCGAUGAAGGACGCGCUUACCUGCGAAAAGCCCCGACGAGCCGGAGAGCGGCGUUGACUCGGGGGUGUCCGAAUGGGGAA
rnacentral:rRNA from 1 species